GACGAACGCUGGCGGCGCGCCUAACACAUGCAAGUCGAACGAGAGACGAGGAGCUUGCUCUUCAAAUCGAGUGGCGAACGGGUGAGUAACGCGUGAGGAACCUGCCUCAAAGAGGGGGACAACAGUUGGAAACGACUGCUAAUACCGCAUAAGCCCACGGCUCGGCAUCGAGCAGGGGGAAAAGGAGCAAUCCGCUUUGAGAUGGCCUCGCGUCCGAUUAGCUAGUUGGUGAGAUAACGGCCCACCAAGGCGACGAUCGGUAGCCGGACUGAGAGGUUGAACGGCCACAUUGGGACUGAGACACGGCCCAGACUCCUACGGGAGGCAGCAGUGGGGAAUAUUGCACAAUGGGGGAAACCCUGAUGCAGCGACGCCGCGUGGAGGAAGAAGGUCUUCGGAUUGUAAACUCCUGUUGUUGAGGAAGAUAAUGACGGUACUCAACAAGGAAGUG
rnacentral:rRNA from 1 species